UACGGAGGGUGCAAGCGUUGCUCCGGAAUUAUGGCGUAAAGGGUAGGUAGGUGGUCUCAUUUGUCUGGGGUGAAAGCCUUGAGCUUAACUCAAGAAGUGCCCCAGAAACGGUGAGACUGGAGUCCUGGAGAGGGUCGUGGAAUUCCCGGUGUAGGCGGUGAAAUGCGUAGAGAUCGGGAGGAACAACCCAGAGGCGAAGGCGGCGACCUGGACAGGCACUGACACUCAACUACGAAAGCGUGGGGAGCAAACAGG
rnacentral:rRNA from 1 species